UUACCGAGUUUACAACUCCCAAACCCCUGUGAACAUACCAAUUGUUGCCUCGGCGGAUCAGCCCGCUCCCGGUAAAACGGGACGGCCCGCCAGAGGACCCCUAAACUCUGUUUCUAUAUGUAACUUCUGAGUAAAACCAUAAAUAAAUCAAAACUUUCAACAACGGAUCUCUUGGUUCUGGCAUCGAUGAAGAACGCAGCAAAAUGCGAUAAGUAAUGUGAAUUGCAGAAUUCAGUGAAUCAUCGAAUCUUUGAACGCACAUUGCGCCCGCCAGUAUUCUGGCGGGCAUGCCUGUUCGAGCGUCAUUUCAACCCUCAAGCCCCCGGGUUUGGUGUUGGGGAUCGGCGAGCCCUUGCGGCAAGCCGGCCCCGAAAUCUAGUGGCGGUCUCGCUGCAGCUUCCAUUGCGUAGUAGUAAAACCCUCGCAACUGGUACGCGGCGCGGCCAAGCCGUUAAACCCCCAACUUCUGAAUGUUGACCUCGGAUCAGGUAGGAAUACCCGCUGAACUUAAGCAUAUCAAUAAGCGGAGGAAAAGAAACCAACAGGGAUUGCCCUAGUAACGGCGAGUGAAGCGGCAACAGCUCAAAUUUGAAAUCUGGCUCUCGGGCCCGAGUUGUAAUUUGUAGAGGAUACUUUUGAUGCGGUGCCUUCCGAGUUCCCUGGAACGGGACGCCAUAGAGGGUGAGAGCCCCGUCUGGUUGGAUGCCAAAUCUCUGUAAAGUUCCUU
rnacentral:rRNA from 1 species